rnacentral:misc_RNA from 1 species
UCUGAUCUGAUCCUUAUUUAUUUAAACAAAUUUUAAGAAUAGAAAGCUUGGAGUCAGCCUAAAGUUUUUGGAGUCUUUUUAAAAAUAAUUUACAGUUUUUUUCACAUGUUUGAAAUUUGAUAAACUGCGAUUCUGCAAUGGAUUUCUAAGGCGAAGAGUAUGGAUGCUGCAGUCUAGUCCAGAUGCAGCCAGGUCAAGGUCAAUGACACAAUCACAACAUCAAGGACCAGACAUGGGCAGCAAUGAUUGGCCAAUCAAUGAACUGGAUCACAAUCAAGACACCAUUGAAGAAAAAUAUCACCCUCAACAAAAUUUGGACGAUUCAGCACAUCCAAUUGAAUUGAAAGUUAUCAAGCCAGAGGAACUAGUUGAAGAAGGAGAAGAAGAACAACAUGGAGGAACAGUGAAAGUAGAAGAUGAUACAGAGAUGCAGAUCGAGACAAACUAUUAUAUUUUACCAGAUACACUGAACUGUGAUCCCAAUAAACCUGAGCACUUGAAAAUGAACAAUGAAGAAGCAAUCGAGGAAUUAGAACCAUUUGGAACCGAUCAUUCAGAAACAUUGAUGCAAAUCCAAGACUAUUCUUCGGGUACAUCAAAUGGAAAUUCUGCAAGAGAAAGAAUAUCUUCAGAAUUAUUUAUACGAAGGUUUGAUGGGCAAAUAUAUGCAAGUUCCUCUGAAAGGUCACCAUACAAUGCCAAUUCGUUGACAAAAAAUACCAAACAAGACUGCAAUGAGUUGGCUUCAGUACUUGAAAAUGCACAGAAUAAUAGAGAUACGUGCUUCAACUGUAAAUUUUGUGACCAUUCCUGUAAAACUUCAUCCCAGCUCAGACUACAUUUGAAGAUGCAUACAAGAGAAAAGACUUUCAGCUGUGAUUUUUGUGAGUACAAAGCAAAUAGGAAAUCAAAUCUCUACCGACAUUUUAAAACACACACAGGCGAAAAACCCUACAGCUGUGAUUUUUGUGAGUACAAAUCAGCACAUAAAGUAAACCUCAUCACUCAUUUGAAUAGACACACAGGAGAAAGACCCUUCAGCUGUAAUUUAUGUGAGUACAACGCAGCACAGAAAUCAAGUCUCAACGCUCAUUUGAAGUCACACACAGGAGAAAAAAACUACAGCUGUGAUUUUUGUGAGUACAAAGCAGCAAAGAAAUCAACCCUCAUCACUCAUUUGACGACACACACAAGAGAAAAACCCUACAGCUGUGAUUUUUGUGAUUACAGAGCAGCUACCAAAUCAAGUCUCAGCAGGCAUUUGAAGACACACACAGGAGAAAGACCCUUCAAUUGUGAUUUCUGUGAAUACAAAACAAUUCAAAAAUCAGUUCUCAAGAGGCAUUUAAAGAAACACACAGGAGAAAAACCCUACAACUGUGAUUUUUGUGAUUACAGAGCAGCUAACAAAUCAAAUAUCAUCAGGCAUUUGAAGACACACUCAGGAGAAAGACCCUUAAGUUGUGAUCUCUUUGAAUACAAAACAAUUCAAAAAUCAAUUCUCAACAGGCAUUUAAGGAAACACACAGGAGAAAAACCCUACAGCUGUGAUUUCUGUGAUUACAGAGCAGCUAAGAAAUCAUCUCUUACCACUCAUCAAAGGAAACACACUGAGGAAAGAGCGCAACUGUACAUGUAACCACAAAGUAGCAUGCCAAUCAAAUCUCAUCAUUCAUUUACAAAUAAAAGACUCUUCAACACCAAUGACAUCUCACGUAAGAUCCAAUGAUGCACACUGGUGAAAUACCCUACAUCUGUGUUCUUCUGUACUUGAGAUAAUUAUCUCGGGCCACACCUGUGUUUCGGAUGGACACGUUCAGUCGUCGUUCCCGGCUGUCUAAAAAAGAAGUCGUUAGGUCAGUGAACACUCUGACACCAGACCCAAGCCAGCCAGGUUACUCGAUAUUAUUAUAUAUGUAGUUAAAUAUAUAUAACAGCAGUACUCAUAACUUUAUUUUCGUAUUGUCUUGUUGACAACGCAUUGUUUUACUUCUUAUGUAAACUAGUAAUUUAUACAACCACUCAACAUGACCUCUUAGCUCUUGUAAAUGUACUUGUAAAUGUCUUGGAAAUGAAAUUAUUUCAACUUACAAUCAUUUAACUGGCACAUGAACUUAGGGCCUGCGAUCAGUUUUUGUUAUAUAUCCUCUCCCAUUCAACUCUGGAAUCUCUGAUACCUCAAGACAUUUCAUCUUGUUCGACAAAAAACUACGAGUUUGAAAUUUUAAAUUUGUGAUCAUGAAAACUAAUUGUUUUUUAGAAACAUGCAAUUGUGGAAUGAUUCGGAUUCAACAACAAGAACUUUUCUCCAACGAGAAAAACAAGUGUAAACUUGACUAAAUCAACCCACAUCUGCAAGAACCUUUCUCCAACGAGAGAAAAACAAAUAGAACUCAUCUUAAUCAAAGCAGAGCUACGUGAACUUUUUCACAAUGAUGAGAACUUCAAUACUGCAAUACUGAUUGGAUAAUCGACAUCAUCAUCAACCUCACACUGGCCAGUGGCCACCGCAGAAGACGAAAGGGGCAGGAAGCUCGCCAGAUACAGGAAGGAUUCCCGCAGUGCAACGGACGCUGCUGGCAACAACCUCAAUCGACUAUCUUUGCUAAUCCAGAAGAUAAGCUACCAAAGUCUGUGGUCAAAUAUGAUGAUCCUGAUAUUGAAAGAGUCAGACGAGCGCAUCUGAACGACUUGGAGAAUAUACCGGUCUUCAUGGUGGCUGCUCUGCUCUACAUCGCGACAAACCCCUCCUAUUGGCUGGCGCUGACCGUGUUUCGUGUGUUCACUGUCGCGCGCAUCGUUCACACGAUCGUGUACGCGGUCGUGGUCGUGCCGCAACCUGCACGCGCGAUCGCGUGGGGAGUCGGCUAUGCGGCCACCAUCUACUUGGCUGUACAGGUCAUAUUGUUCAGUCUCUAACAACUCAUGGUAAAGCUAUAAGUUUAGCACCGCACACACACAUCGAUUUUCGUUCGUACGGUAUUUUGCCGUCCUUAUAAAUUCCAUUUAAUUAAACAGAUGAUGUUUGUCAAGUUCUGUUUAAUCUGUUAGAAUUCAAAGGACGGCAAAAUACCGUACGAACGAAAAUCGAUGUGUGUGCUGUGCGGGGCUUUAGUUGGACAAAUCAUUGUUGAAAUAGGUGUGCUAUGAGUUAGUUGAACAAUCUUGAAAAGUAAAAUUCUUGGAGAUUGAAAUUUGAGCGAUUGAAAAAUUUAUUAACGUGCUACAGUUGGACAUUUUUCAUAGAUAGUAUUCUUGGCGAUUGCAUGUUCAAUGAUUAAAUAAUGAGUUGUUGGAAUAUGUGUGCUGUAUUUGAACAAUUCUCAUAUAUAAUAAUAUUUCUUUGCGAUCGGAAAUUGAUCGAUUGAAUGAUUAAUUAAUGAGUUGUUGGAAUAGGUGUUGCUGUAUUUGAAAAAUUCUCAUAAAUAUAAUAUUCUUUGAAAUUGAAAAAUGAAUUGUUGGAAUAGGUGUGCUGCAGUUGAACAAUUUUUAUGAAUAUAAUCCUUGGUUAUUUAAAUUUUAUCGAUUGAAAAAUGAAUAUUGUUGAAAUUUAAUGUGCUAGUAGUAAUAAUAUCGAAUGACCUGGCUGUCUCAGGUCUGUUGUCAGAGUUCUCAGGUCGCACCUAAUCAAUUUCAGGGCUGUUUGUAGCCAGCCGGGACCGACGAUUUAACGUGUCCCAUCGAAAUACGUUAUGUGUGCUAUAGUUGGAAAUAUUAUAAAAACACUUCACUUAUAAUGGGCUAAUUUAUUCAAAUUAAUAAAAACAAUAUAAAACUUGUAGUACCCCUGUAUUAAAACUUUGAAACUUUUGUAUUACAUACAAACUGUAUCUUGUAUCUAUCUCUCCUACAUGUUUGCUAUAUUGGUACUAGUUGUAUUUUUUUGUUAAACUACUAUAUUUAUAUGUAUGCGUAUGGUACGAGCAGCAAAAUACAAGGAUACACUAUCUACACAUAAUACAUCCAGCAAGAAUAUAUAGUUGAACUACUUUCUAGUCCGAACUCAGAAAAAUGUGCAUAAAUCGCGCUAAUUUUUACCAUAUUUUGAUCCGCACUUGUUUUUACACUAUUAUAUUUUACUACUACAAGAAUUAUGAGGUCAAUAAAAGUUUCUCAUAUUCAUC